GAGUGUAUAGCUCAGGGGUAGAGCGUGUGCUUAGCACGCAUGAGGUCCUUGGUUCAAUCCCCAGUACUUCCA
rnacentral:tRNA from 1 species